rnacentral:snRNA from 1 species
AAUCGCCGAAAAAUAGGAGAGAG